GGGGCGUUAGCUCAGUUGGUAGAGCAGCGGACUCUUAAUCCGUCGGUCGAGUGUUCGAGUCACUCACGCCCCACCA
rnacentral:tRNA from 1 species